ensembl:snRNA U6 U6 spliceosomal RNA
GUGCUCGCUUCAGCAGCACAUAUAACAAAUUUGGUAUGGGACAGAGAAGAUUAGCAUGGCCCCUGCGCAAGGAUGACAAGCAAAUUCAAGAGGCAGAGGUAAGAGGAUUAC